UAUCCAAAGGGAUAAGAUUUCUUAUCGAUUCCUGCUUGAGGAUACGAAUCAAUUGAUUCGUUCGGCUGCUCCCCUUGUACGCAGAGGCCACCGCCGCGCCGGAGGGCGCUGCCUUGGGCCGGUGGUAGCUCCGCCGCCACGGCUCGCAUCCGGCAGCAGCCGUCAUGCAUCCGUGCUACUGCACGUAGACGCGUAGUAACGUAGCACUACCGCGUCUCGCAGCCAGCGGCCGCAAGACGCGCUGAUGUGCCACAUUCAGUCGAGCGCCCCGCGCCAUGCCGACGACACCACGCCACCACGCGCUGCGUUGAGGGUCUGCGUCACUGGUGUGCCGGGUCGACGAUGCCACCACGCAGGAAUCGAGUCUGCGACGAGACUGAAGGCCACGAAGUACUUGAAUCGAUGAAGGAUUGGAGAUUGAUGCCCCCUUUGUCCGUUCGCCGAUUUGGGAGCCGACGAGGUCAAGAUGGACGCUGGCGUUGAAGCCGUGCCUCCGUCGAGCCGGAGGGCGUCGAUGUUGCGAUAGCCAUGUGCCUCGUGGUCGUUCUUUCUCGCUGACGUUCGCCUGCCUCGUCGCGCCACCGCGGAUGGCUACCCUGCCGCAGGCCGGCCGCUUGCGUCGCCGGUUGGGCUGCAGUACAAAGGCAAGUCGCGUUGUGCUUCUUCGAUGCAGAGCGAAAAAUGCUGAUAACGUGUGAAAGAAUAAAAGCAAAGAAUAAAAGCAAAUGACCGAAGAGUCUUUCUCAUUGAUUGAAAA